GCCCCGGCGGGCAGCGCGUUGCCGCGGUCCGCCUCGGGGGCGUGCAGGGCGCGGCGCAGCAACCGUGCCGGGGCC
rnacentral:tRNA from 1 species